AUGGCUGUCGUCAGCUCGUGUCGUGAGAUGUUGGGUUAAGUCCCGCAACGAGCGCAACCCUUGUCCCUAGUUGCCAGCACGUAAUGGUGGGAACUCUAGGGAGACCGCCGGUGACAAACCGGAGGAAGGUGGGGAUGACGUCAAGUCCUCAUGGCCCUUACGGCCAGGGCUACACACGUACUACAAUGGUCGGUACAAAGGGUCGCCAAGCCGCGAGGUGGAGCCAAUCCCAGAAAACCGAUCUCAGUCCGGAUCGGAGUCUGCAACUCGACUCCGUGAAGUCGGAAUCGCUAGUAAUCGCGGAUCAGCAAUGCCGCGGUGAAUACGUUCCCGGGCCUUGUACACACCGCCCGUCACACCAUGGGAGUUUGUUGCACCAGAAGCAGGUAGCUUAACCGCAAGGGGGGCGCUUGCCACGGUGUGGCCGAUGACUGGGGUGAAGUCGUAACAAGGUAGCCGUAUCGGAAGGUGCGGCUGGAUCACCUCCUUUAGAGCAACGAUCUGUCCAACUGACAGGCGUCCGCACAAGUACCCUGCAUUCCACAACCUGAUCCCGCCUGGGUCUGUAGCUCAGGUGGUUAGAGCGCACCCCUGAUAAGGGUGAGGCCGGAGGUUCGAGUCCUCCCAGACCCACCAAGGGAUCUUGGGACGCUCAGGGCCGAUCAUGGGGCCAUAGCUCAGCUGGGAGAGCACCUGCUUUGCAAGCAGGGGGUCGUCGGUUCGAUCCCGACUGGCUCCACAAAGCUCUCUGGUAAGUCAUUGUGGAAUGACACUGCGCACACAAAUUUUAUGCACGCGGGCAUUGUGGCCUGCGUGUGUUCUUUGACAAUUCGGGACGGAAUGAGCGUUUGAGACGAAGUCUCACACGUGUCGUAGAGGCUAAGGCGAAGUAGAUUUGUGUGUUGAUCAUCCUGAGGCGACUUGGGGUUAUAUGGUCAAGCGAAUAAGCGCACACGGUGGAUGCCUUGGCGGUCAGAGGCGAUGAAGGACGUGGCAGCCUGCGAAAAGCUCCGGGGAGCUGGCAACAAGCAUUGAUCCGGAGAUGUCCGAAUGGGGAAACCCGG
rnacentral:sRNA from 1 species